CCUACGGGAGACAGCAGUCGAGAAUCAUUCACAAUGGGGGAAACCCUGAUGGUGCGACGCCGCGUGGGGGAAUGAAGGUCUUCGGAUUGUAAACCCCUGUCAUGUGGGAGCAAAUUAAAAAGAUAGUACCACAAGAGGAAGAGACGGCUAACUCUGUGCCAGCAGCCGCGGUAAUACAGAGGUCUCAAGCGUUGUUCGGAAUCACUGGGCGUAAGGCGUGCGUAGGCUGUUUCGUAAGUCGUGUGUGAAAGGCGCGGGCUCAACCCGCGGACGGCACAUGAUACUGCGAGACUAGAGUAAUGGAGGGGGAACCGGAAUUCUCGGUGUAGCAGUGAAAUGCGUAGAUAGCGAGAGGAACACUCGUGGCGAAGGCGGGUUCCUGGACAUUAACUGACGCUGAGGCACGAAGGCCAGGGGAGCGAAAGGGAUUAGAUACCCUAGUAGUC
rnacentral:rRNA from 1 species